AUUGAACGCUAGCGGGAUGCUUUACACAUGCAAGUCGAACGAGCGGCGGACGGGUGAGUAAUGUAUGGGGACUGCCCGAUAGAGGGGGAUAACUACUGGAAACGGUAGCUAAUACCGCAUACUAUCGGGUAAACAAUAUGGGAUUAGCUAGUAGGUGAGGUAAUGGCUCACCUAGGCGACGAUCCCUAGCUGGUCUGGGAGGAUGAUCAGCCACACUGGGACUGAGACACGGCCCAGACUCCUACGGAGGCAGCAGUGGGGAAUAGUGCACAAUUGGCGCAAGCCUGAUGCAGCCAUGCCGCGUGUAUGAAGAAGGCCCUAGGGUUGUAAAGUACUUUCAGUCGGGAGGCGUUACCGACAGAAGAAGCACCGGCUAACUCCGUGCCAGCAGCCGCGGUAAUAC
rnacentral:rRNA from 1 species